rnacentral:rRNA from 1 species
AUUGAACGCUGGCGGCAUGCUUUACACAUGCAAGUCGAACGGUAACAGGCCGCAAGGUGCUGACGAGUGGCGAACGGGUGAGUAAUGCAUCGGAACGUGCCCAGUCGUGGGGGAUAACGCAGCGAAAGCUGCGCUAAUACCGCAUACGAUCUCUGGAUGAAAGCGGGGGACCGAAAGGCCUCGCGCGAUUGGAGCGGCCGAUGUCAGAUUAGGUAGUUGGUGGGGUAAAGGCCCACCAAGCCAACGAUCUGUAGCUGGUCUGAGAGGACGACCAGCCACACUGGGACUGAGACACGGCCCAGACUCCUACGGGAGGCAGCAGUGGGGAAUUUUGGACAAUGGGCGCAAGCCUGAUCCAGCAAUGCCGCGUGCAGGAAGAAGGCCUUCGGGUUGUAAACUGCUUUUGUACGGAACGAAACGGUCCGGGUUAAUACCCUGGGCUAAUGACGGUACUGUAAGAAUAAGCACCGGCUAACUACGUGCCAGCAGCCGCAGUAA